rnacentral:lncRNA from 1 species
GCCGGCGGUGAGCCGGGUGCCGCUGUGCUGUCGCGGAGCCCGUAACGUGGCACAGCCGGGACAGGUGUGAGCCCAGGGCGUCUCUGCAGGCUUGGUUCCUCAGGUGUGUCGCAUACACCUGAGGUGCAUUUACAUGAGAAGACUUGUGACCGGCUAAGGGCGAAGGGAAUUUCCGCAAGGAAUGGAACUGGCUCACAGCUUGCUGCUCAAUGAAGAAGCGUCCAAUCAGCUAGGUGACGUCCAGAAGGCCGAGUUUGUUUUUGAGUGGUUGAGAUACUUGGAGAAGCUCUUGCUAGCAACAAACAGGGAUGACGUCAGGGAGAAGCAGAAGGCCCUUGUUGAACAGCUCCUUUCCUUACUGAGCAGCUCCCCAGGGCCUCCUACUCGCAAGCUCCUUGCCCAGAAUCUGGCAAUACUUUAUAGUAUUGGAGACACGUUUUCUGUGUAUGAGACAAUCGAUAAAUGCAAUGAUCUUAUUCGUAGCAAAGAUGACUCUCCAAGUUACCUUCCCACCAAACUGUAAGUUAAACAUUAAAACCUAACAAUACAAAA